AGACCCGAAACCCGGUGAUCUAGCCAUGGGCAGGUUGAAGGUUGGGUAACACUAACUGGAGGACCGAACCGACUAAUGUUGAAAAAUUAGCGGAUGACCUGUGGCUGGGGGUGAAAGGCCAAUCAAACCGGGAGAUAGCUGGUUCUCCCCGAAAGCUAUUUAGGUAGCGCCUCGUGAAUUCAUCUCCGGGGGUAGAGCACUGUUUCGGCUAGGGGGCCAUCCCGGCUUACCAACCCGAUGCAAACUGCGAAUACCGGAGAAUGUUAUCACGGGAGACACACGGCGGGUGCUAACGUCCGUCGUGAAGAGGGAAACAACCCAGACCGCCAGCUAAGGUCCCAAAGUCAUGGUUAAGUGGGAAACGAUGUGGGAAGGCCCAGACAGCCAGGAUGUUGGCUUAGAAGCAGCCAUCAUUUAAAGAAAGCGUAAUAGCUCACUGGUCGAGUCGGCCUGCGCGGAAGAUGUAACGGGGCUAA
rnacentral:rRNA from 3 species